UACGUAGGGUGCGAGCGUUAAUCGGAAUUACUGGGCGUAAAGCGUGCGCAGGCGGUUUUGUAAGCCAGAUGUGAAAUCCCCGGGCUUAACCUGGGAAUGGCAUUUGGGACUGCAAGGCUGGAGUGCGGCAGAGGAGACGUGGAAUUCCUGGUGUAGCAGUGAAAUGCGUAGUAUAUCAGGAGGAAUACCGAUGGCGAAGGCAGGUCUCUGGGCUGAC
rnacentral:rRNA from 1 species